AGAAAUUAUGAUAGGUGCUGUGAUAGGUACAAAGAUGUCCCCCUGUCACAAGUGGGUGUAUAGAAAGUGGCAGGGCUCCCUGUCUUCUCCGGUCUGAAAAGAUUUAUUUGGCCCCAGGCUUACUGUAUUUUCACAUGUAGGAAGACUUUAGCAGAAGAAAACUGUCUGCAAAGCCAGUGCCCUGUGGAAUUAUAAACAAAUGUGACAAGCUGAAUGAGCUUGGUCAAGGCCAAAUUUCUUCAUCGUGGAUAAUCUAGAUGAUGUUACCUGUCCUGGGGACUGCUGUGAGAAUUAGCAAAAAUAAAUGUAAAAGAGGCAGAAGGGAUAUGGCUGGAGGCUCUGGAGGCAGACAGCCAGGGUUCAAAUCCUGGUUCCUCAUCUAAUAGCUACUGCUGUCUCAGCUUCGUUAUCUCACCUCUCUGUGCCUCAGUUUCCUCAUGAAGAGAACAGGGGUAGUAAUCGUGUCUCCUCAUAGGGCUGACCUGAGAAUUAAAUGGGAGAGAAAAUAUAUGGCUUGCACAGCAGUGCUUGCUGUAUGGAAAGCAUUUAAUCAGAGCCAGCUUCCACCAUUACCAUCCUAUCAUCAUCGCCACCUUCGUCACCAGGCUCAGGUCCCAACACGAGAAUGAACAAAUCCCCUCAUGUACCGUAACCGUGUAGUUAGGUUGCUCUGGAACCGCCAUGCCCUGGGACUGUGAGGAAUAGACAUACAGAAUAAAGAGAAUUGUGAGGAGCACAGUGGCUAUAGACUCUGUGUGAAAAGGGUCAGGGAUCUUAUCUCACUUCCAACCCCAUCUCCUUUUCCCUGCUUUACUGGGGAAAUGACCUUGAAGGAGGAACAAGUGCACUCUGAUAGAUAGAACUGCUUUGGCCACAGCCCAGCCCCACCACCCAGGCACAGAGGAGAGCUCUCUGAUGUCUCUUGAAUGAUUUAGCUUUAUUGGCUCUUGUGUCUCUCUCCAAAUUGCCUUCAGGAUGAAUGUCGUGGCCAGAACCCAUAGAGGACACCAGCUUCCCAAGCAGCUCACAAGAUGCGGAUACUCUCUCCGUUUAUGAAACAGGCUUCAAAUUGGCCAUUAGUGGAGGCUGUAUUUUGCACCUCGUGAAGAGGAAAUGAUACUGCAUUAGAAGUUCUGCACUGUGGCUUAGGCAGUGCAUUAGAGCUUUUUGUAGCUGCCUGUAUUCCUGGCCUUGUGGCUUCUUCUCCAUCUUCAAAGCACAUGACUGCAGUCCGUCUGCUUCUCCCUAUACAAGGAGACAUCCCCCGGAUAAUCCAGCAUUAUCUUCCCAUCUCAAGAUCCUUCGUGCAAAGGAUCCUUUUUGUCAUCUAAGGAGAAAGCACAUCCGUCCUAAGAAGAAGGCUGGUUCAUAAUCACGAGGGUGUGCAUUGCCUAUGCAAUUGAAGCAAUUGGAAGUUGAAGGAAGGGUCAAGUUGUUGACCCUGAAAAUGUGUCUGUGUAUAGCAAAUCAACAGAGGAGUUCAUGUUCACAGAGCAGUGUUCACAUAUCCAAAAGCAGCACAUAAAACCACAUCUUCUCUUUCUGAGUCCAACUUGCGAAUCGGAAGCCAUUUCUGUGGAGGCAGAACUCCAUCCAUGAUGCAACAGGUGAGGAAUAGCUUCAUAAUUUUCAGAUUAGCAGACUUUCUCUGCUAAUGUCUCACUAAUUACCAUGUAGACUUAGCAUUGAACCAUAAUUAUUAUCAGUUAAUUAGACCUUAAAAUGUAUCUUUGAUAACACCUCUGGCAUUUAAUUAUGUAACUGGUAACUUAUGAAUGUUAUUAAGGGGAUAUAUGACUACACUAACGUGUAAUUAGAUCUCGUUUUUGUUUCUUGAUAUCAUAUUGAUUCUGAUAAUAGGGUUGGAGUUUUUACAGCUUAUAUGAAAAUGGUCAUAUUAAAUUGAUAGUCUAUAAAACAAAUGCACGUGUUAGCAAAUAUUUAAUAAGCAUAUUAAAAGAAAGAGUCUGUGGGAGAAAGAAAAGUGGAGAUUAUUCUUGGUAUCAUUUUAAAAAGUUCAUAGCAAAUACAUUGCCUGUUUUCAAGGCCACUUUCUGCCUAAAAACAAAUAGCAUUCAAGAAUUUAUGUAAUAAAAGAAAUUAGUUCCUACUGUUGGAAAACAGAAAAAAAAAACCUACCAAACUGUUUUCAAUAUUGUGAGAGUAACAAAUACGUGUCCCCAAAGCUUUAUGCACCUCGACUCAUUUUUUGAAUGUCCUAUUGUCAUUUAGGAAAUGUUCAGCAAUCUUUUUGUAAAAUGAAGAAUCUCUUUUUAAAAUAAUGUGGCUAAUUUCCUCUCUUUGUGGGAGAAUUAAAGUCAGCUAAAAAUCAGAUUGUCUAGUUAGAUUUUCUGGUAGAUUUCAAGCCCCUUGAGGGCAAUGUUCUGUCCCUUUUACACCUUAUUAUCAUUUACAAUUCCUAAUGUGGUGGUUUGCACAGCGUAGGUAUUUUUUCAGCUUUAUUGAGGUAUAGCUGACAAAUAAAAUUGUUAGAUAUUUAAAGUAUACAUCGUGAUGAUUUGAGAUACAUACACAUCGUGAGAGGGUUCCUCUCAUCUAGUUAAUUAACACAUCCACUUUCUCACAUAUUUAUCUUGUUUUGUUUGUGUGUGAGAACACUUAAGGUUUACUCUCUUACCAAAUUUCAAUUAGACAAUACAAUGUUAAUGAACUUUUGUCAUCAUGUUAUCCAUUAGAUGUUCAGAGAUGUUAUUCAUCUUAUAGCUGAAAAUUUGUACCCUUUUGCCAACCUCUUCCUAUUUCCCCAUCCCGGCAGGCCCUGGCAACCACUUUUCUACUCUCUAUGUCUUUGAGUUUGGCUCUACAUACGAGUUUGAUUCUAUGUAUCAAUGAUACCAUGGAGUAUUUGUCUUUGUGUUAUCUCACUUAGCAUACUGUUCUUAAAGUUCACUCAUGUUGUCAUAAAUGGCAGGCUGUCCUUCUUUCUCAAGGCUGAAUAAUAUUCCAUUGUGUGUAUAUACCACAUGUACUUUACCCAUUCACCUGUUGUUGGACACUUAGAUUGUUUCUAUAUCCUGGCUAUUGUGAAUAGUGCUGCCAUGAACACGGGAGUGAGAUAUUACAAUAUUCUGUUUUCAUUUCCUUUGGAUAUAUACCAGAAGUGGGAUUGCUGGAUCAUAUGGUAUGAAUAUUCAUUGCCUGUUGAGUAAGAGAAAUUGGAGGGAAUUAAAGAAACUCUGCUAUAUCUACUUUCUCUCCAAAAUGUGGAUGAUGAAACAUGCCUUAGGAAAACAAGUAAAGAUUCUGGUGUGGAAAGGGUACUCAGAGCCUGGUGAACUGAUGGAUACUUAGUCACAGAGGAGAUUGUGGGAUUUAGAAUAAGUCUAAAACAAAUAGAUGGAUUGGUUGAUUUAUAUAGUUUUAACUCCAUAUCCUGAUUUGUAAUAAAAAUGUAAUAAAUUAGCUGGGAUUGUGGGUACUAUUUGACAUGUAACAUAGAGUAAAAGUUAUUAUCAGAGAUAAAGUUUUCUCUAAGUGA